ensembl:lncRNA
AGGUAGUUAGGAAGGGAGGGGGAUGGGAAAAGAAGGAGGGAGGUUAGUGUGUUUAAGUCACGAGGGAGGGAGGGUAGAUAGGUAGUUAGGCUUGUAUGUGUCUGAGGAGGAAGGUUAGUAUGUAGGUUAGUAUGUAGGUUAGUAUGUAGGUUAGUAUGUAGGUUAGUACGUAGGUUAGUAUGUAGGUUAGUAUGUAGGUUAGUACGUAGGUUAGUACGUAGGUUAGUAUGUAGGUUAGUACGUAGGUUAGUAUGUGGGAAUGUUGAACGGUUGUACAGUAGUAGAGUGUAUUUAUAGAAAUCUCUAAACAGGACCCAGUAAUCCAUAUUUUAUGAAAAACUCAUUGCAAUUAUAUGUUUAUUUCUUUUACAAAAGUUCAGACCGAUGUUUUUCUUCAAAAAGCUGACCAGUGAACAUUUGA